rnacentral:rRNA from 1 species
AAGGGGGCAACCCCCGGUAGCGUGGCAGACGGGUGAGUAACACGUGGGUAACUUACCCUGAGGUGGGGAAUAACCUUCCGAAAGGAGGGCUAAUACCGCAUGACAUCCCGAGGUCUUCGGCUCUUGGGAUCAAAGCUGGCCUCUGUUUACAAGCUAGCGCCACAGGAGAGACCCGCGCCCCAUUAGCUAGUUGGUGAGGUAACGGCUCACCAAGGCGACGAUGGGUAGCCGGCCUGAGAGGGUGAUCGGCCACACUGGAACUGAGACACGGUCCAGACUCCUACGGGAGGCAGCAGUGAGGAAUAUUGCGCAAUGGGCGAAAGCCUGACGCAGCGACGCCGCGUGGAGGAUGAAGGUCUUCGGA